UGCCAUACACUUAAACCACUAAAGACUUCUCCAAAGCUAGUGCCGAAGACACCCUUAAUCUGUUUUAAGAAGUUCAAUUUUAUUUUUUUUUAUUUAUAAAUAUAUAUGGAUCAAAUUUGAUUUUUGAUCCAUGUUUCAAUGCUAAUGAGCAUGAUGAUUGACAUAAUUGGAAGAGGAUUUUGUUUUCCAUUUUCUAAAGAGUCCUUGCAAAGUGAAGGGUUUGUUUGACCUAAGUCUUUGAAUUGUUUCAGGUGCUAUAUGUGCAGCUGGUUGACUUUACAUGUCAAGCAUUAUGUAUCUACACACAGUAAUGGCUGUUUUUACUCAUUGUUUGGGUAGCUGGGUGGCCUGGUCUGGCUUUGGCUCAUGGCUGCUGCUGGUUCCCUGCUGCUACUGGUUUUGGUUUCAGUGUUGAACUGGGAAUGAUUCAGGAUGCCUCAGCAGUUGGAGCUUUCUAUGAGCUCCUGAGUCAAUUCUCUCUGAACGUGUCUCAGCAUGGAGAACGCAAGCCAGUCAAUUCGUUUGAGUUAUGUCCGAUCUUAAAGACACUAUAUAUACAAGAUACUCAUAAAAAGGGAACAAUCUUCACAAGACAUUCUCCAAGCACUGAGGGAUGAGAACAUGAAUGAUCCCCGGGAUCGAAUCGAAAUGGCUCAAUCACAUACUUUCUACAUGCCUUCACUCCGCUGAGUUGUCGUAUGUGUUCAGGAUGCUGUAGCCUUGUAUUUUAUUUUGAUUUAUAUUUUAUUUUUUUGGACGAAAUUGUAAUA